rnacentral:rRNA from 1 species
UCUACGGGGGGCUGCAGUGAGGAAUAUUGGUCAAUGGGAGAGAUCCUGAACCAGCCAAGCCGCGUGAGGGAAGACGGCCCUAUGGGUUGUAAACCUCUUUUGUCGGAGAACAAAACCCGGUACGUGUCCCGGACUGCGUGUAUCCGACGAAAAAGCAUCGGCUAACUCCGUGCCAGCAGCCGCGGUAAUCCGGAGGAUGCGAGCGUUAUCCGGAUUUAUUGGGUUUAAAGGGUGGGUAGGCGGUCCGUUAAGUCAGCGGUAAAAUUGCGGGGCUCAACCCGGGCGAGCCGUUGAAACUGGCAGACUGGAGUGGGCGAGAAGUAAGCGGAAUGCGCGGUGUAGCGGUGAAAUGCAUAGAUAUCGCGCAGAACUCCGAUUGCGAAGGCAGCUUGCUGCAGCGGAACUGACGCUGAUGCUCGAAAGCGCGGGUAUCGAACAGGAUUAGAUACCCGAGUAGUC